AAAAAAAAAAAGAAAAAAAAACUAAUAUUAUAAGAGGGAGAGUGAGAGGGAAGACUUAAAGGUGCCCUUUUCUAUUCUUGCUCUCCCAGUACUUUUGAACUCAUCAGACCUCACUUUCUCUCCUCUACCAGCUUUUAAACACUUCCCUAAGCAUCAAUUUUCAAUUGUGAGUGUUUUAUCAAAGACGGAGAAGAAUAAUCUGUGGAUUCAAUUUUACUGGGUUUCGAUGGAAUUUCUGCAAGGUGAAGCUAUGAUCCUGUUAAAUUCAAGGAGAGUGCUGGUGAAAUUACAAUUUAAAUUAUUUUAAUUUGAGCUUAUAUAA
rnacentral:misc_RNA from 1 species